UGAGGAAUAUUGGUCAAUGGGCGCAAGCCUGAACCAGCCAUCCCGCGUGAAGGAAGAAGGCGCUAUGCGUUGUAAACUUCUUUUCCAGGGGAAUAAAAUUUUGUACGUGUACGGAAUUGAAGGUACCCUGGGAAUAAGCAUCGGCUAACUCCGUGCCAGCAGCCGCGGUAAUACGGAGGAUGCGAGCGUUAUCCGGAUUUAUUGGGUUUAAAGGGUGCGUAGGCGGACUAAUAAGUCAGUGGUGAAAACCUGCAGCUUAACUGUAGAACUGCCAUUGAUACUGUUGGUCUUGAGUGUGGUCAAGGUAGGCGGAAUGUGUAAUGUAGCGGUGAAAUGCUUAGAUAUUACACAGAACACCGAUUGCGAAGGCAGCUUGCUGGGCCAUUACUGACGCUGAUGCACGAAAGCGUGGGGAUCGAACAGG
rnacentral:rRNA from 1 species